rnacentral:rRNA from 1 species
UACGUAGGGUGCAAGCGUUGUCCGGAAUUAUUGGGCGUAAAGAGCUCGUAGGCGGUCUGUCGCGUCGGCUGUGAAAACCUGGGGCUCAACUCCGGGCCUGCAGCCGAUACGGGCAGACUAGAAUUCGGUAGGGGGAGACUGGAAUUCCUGGUGUAGCGGUGAAAUGCGCAGAUAUCAGGAGGAACACCGGUGGCGAAGGCGGGUCUCUGGGCCGAUAUUGACGCUGAGGAGCGAAAGCGUGGGGAGCGAACAGG